rnacentral:rRNA from 1 species
AGGAUUCCCCUAGUAACUGCGAGUGAAGCGGGAAAAGCUCAAAUUUAAAAUCUGGCGGUCUCUGGCCGUCCGAGUUGUAAUCUAGAGAAGUAAUGCCCGUGCUGGACCGUGUAUAAGUCUCCUGGGAUGGGGCGUCAUAGAGGGUGAGAAUCCCGUCUUUGACACGGACUACCAGUGCAUUGUGGUAUGCUCUCAAAGAGUCGAGUUGUUUGGGAAUGCAGCUCAAAAUGGGUGGUAAAUUCCAUCUAAAGCUAAAUAUUGGCGAGAGACCGAUAGCGAACAAGUACCGUGAGGGAAAGAUGAAAAGAACUUUGGAAAGAGAGUUAAACAGUACGUGAAAUUGCUGAAAGGGAAACGCUUGAAGUCAGUCGCGUUGGCCGGGGAUCAGCCUUGCUUUUGCAUGGUGUAUUUUCUGGUUGACGGGUCAGCAUCAAUUUUGACCGCUGGAAAAAGACCUGGGGAAUGUGGCAGCUUCGGCUGUGUUAUAGCCCCUAGUCGCAUACAGUGGUUGGGAUUGAGGAACUCAGCACGCCGCAAGGCCGGGUUUCGACCACGUUCGUGCUUAGGAUGCUGGCAUAAUGGCUUUAAGCGACCCGUCUUGAAACACGGACCAAGGAGUCUAACAUGCCUGCGAGUAUUUGGGUGGAAAACCCAAGUGCGUAAUGAAAGUGAAAGUUGAGAUCCCUGUCGUGGGGAGCAUCGACGCCCGGACCAGAACUUUUGGGACGGAUCCGCGGUGGAGCAUGUAUGUUGGGACCCGAAAGAUGGUGAACUAUGCCUGAAUAGGGUGAAGCCAGAGGAAACUCUGGUGGAGGCUCGUAGCGAUUCUGACGUGCAAAUCGAUCGUCAAAUUUGGGUAUAGGGGCGAAA